GGUUCUCCUGGAGAGUUUUCUCUGUGCAUAGUAAGGCCCAAACUGUGAACAUCAAUCAGUCAGGCCGGUGACAGCCCAAACUGUGAACAUCAAUCAGUCAGUCAAUGUCUUUUUCCAUUGACAAACCUGGAGUGGUAUCUAUAUUGGAAAAAUGAAGACUAUUUCUCAAGAGCUCCAAAUAAUAUGGGACCCAGGUGAUUAACAUCAAAUCACCAGGAAAUGGAUCAAGAUAAAAAAAUGGCAAGGUGUUGCUUCAGACUGAAUAAAAAGGAACAUUGCACACACCACCAUAAUCCCAUGAGAGAAGCUAUAUCCUCCUUCUGCAAUCAGAAUUACUCAGGGAGGAGAUAUUUUACUGGAUGGCACACUGCAGUUUAAAGAAAAAAGAGUUAAAGUGAGCAGAACCUUUUGAACAACACAUUCUUCUGUUACGACUAUCGGAGGGAGUUGGAGCACCGUGUCUCCAUACAGAAUCAGGGCAUUCAGCUCUCCAACACAAGCCAACACGUUUGCACUUUGAAUUUUCCAUCUUUAUACAUUUUAAUAACCAACACAUUAGCAUACUGAGGCAUUUUAUCCCAAACCAGGUGAGAGCUAACUUUUUCCUCUUUUUUUUAAUUUGCAUUCAUUUUAAGUCUCAAAGACAUUUUAACGUUGUGAAAUAUGCAGUUGAGUUAAAUAGACAUU